rnacentral:rRNA from 1 species
UUUACAAUGGAGAGUUUGAUCCUGGCUCAGGAUGAACGCUAGCGGCAGGCUUAAUACAUGCAAGUCGAGGGGGAUUAACUGGGUAGCAAUACUCGGUUAUGAGACCGGCAAACGGGUGCGGAACACGUACGCAACCUUCCCAAAACUGGUGAAUAGCCCUCCGAAAGGAGGAUUAAUACACCGUAACUUAAUGAAGUGGCAUCACUUUAUUAAUAUAGCUCCGGCGGUUUUGGAUGGGCGUGCGCCUGAUUAGGUAGUUGGCGGGGUAACGGCCCACCAAGCCUACGAUCAGUAACUGGUGUGAGAGCACGACCAGUCACACGGGCACUGAGACACGGGCCCGACUCCUACGGGAGGCAGCAGUAAGGAAUAU